rnacentral:misc_RNA from 1 species
AGUUUGAGUGUUGAUGGAAGAAGGAUUCUGCAGGUUUUCGACUUAGGAAUUCUUGAAAUUCCCAGGUUCUCGACAACCCAAAUAUGCAGUUUCUCAGAAAAUUUGAAAAUUUUCCAGAUUCGGCAACUAAAGCCCAAGACUCCAGUAGUCGAACUUAAUUCUACCCACUUUAUUUCUCCUUCGAUUCCAAGGUUCCAAAGCUAAUUUCAUUGUUCCUAAGGGCCUAGAAUAAGAU